GUUUACCCUCAUCACCGACCACAACCCAUUGGUCUGACUUAACUGGGUCUCAGGGGAUAAUGGCCGAUUGUUACGGUGGAGCCUGGCCCUGCAACCCUACAACUUUACAAUUCACUAUCUGCUCAGUAAUCAGAAUGGCAACGCCAAUGGAUUGUCCCGGCAAACAGAGCUCACCAACCUCAGUUAAAUCCAGAAAUCCCCAAGUUGACCUAAAAAAGGUCAAACCGGGUCUCCCGGGAGUGUUCCACAAGGAGGGAGCAAUGUGACAGACCUCCCUGUCCCUGAAUUUUACAGUUUUUUGUUCACUUCGCCCGUUUGUUCGGUGAAAUACAUCCACCACAUAUGUUAACUUCCCCGUUCAAAUACCAAAUAAUCUACUGAACGACAGACCACCCAUAUGCAGAGUGUGCUGCUUGUUGACCCCAUUAACCUUUGCUAAGACCUUCAUACCC